AUUGAACGCUGGCGGCAUGCCUAACACAUGCAAGUCGAACGGCAGCACGGCAGUAGCAAUACUGUGGGUGGCGAGUGGCGGACGGGUGAGGAAUACGUCGGAAUCUGCCCAGUCGUGGGGGAUAACUAGCCGAAAGGUUAGCUAAUACCGCAUACGACCGAGAGGUGAAAGCGGGGGACCGCAAGGCCUCGCGCGAUUGGAUGAGCCGACGUCGGAUUAGCUAGUUGGUGGGGUAAAGGCCCACCAAGGCGACGAUCCGUAGCUGGUCUGAGAGGAUGAUCAGCCACACUGGAACUGAGACACGGUCCAGACUCCUACGGGAGGCAGCAGUGGGGAAUAUUGGACAAUGGGCGCAAGCCUGAUCCAGCAAUGCCGCGUGUGUGAAGAAGGCCUUCGGGUUGUAAAGCACUUUUAUCAGGAACGAAAAGCGUUGGAUUAAUACUCUGACGUGCUGACGGUACCUGAGGAAUAAGCACCGGCUAACUUCGUG
rnacentral:rRNA from 1 species